rnacentral:rRNA from 1 species
GAUGAACGCUGGCGGCGUGCCUAAUACAUGCAAGUCGAGCGAACAGACGAGGAGCUUGCUCCUCUGACGUUAGCGGCGGACGGGUGAGUAACACGUGGAUAACCUACCUAUAAGACUGGGAUAACUUCGGGAAACCUGAGCUAAUACCGGAUAAUAUAUUGAACCGCAUGGUUCAAUAGUGAAAGACGGUUUUGCUGUCACUUAUAGAUGGAUCCGCGCCGCAUUAGCUAGUUGGUAAGGUAACGGCCUACCAAGGCGACGAUGCGUAGCCGACCUGAGAGGGUGAUCGGCCACACUGGAAUUGAGACACGGUCCAGACUCCUACGGGAGGCAGCAGUAGGGAAUCUUCCGCAAUGGGCGAAAGCCUGACGGAGCAACGCCGCGUGAGUGAUGAAGGUCUUCGGAUCGUAAAACUCUGUUAUUAGGGAAGAACAAAUGUGUAAGUAACUAUGCACGUCUUGACGGUACCAAAUCAGAAAGCCACGGCUAACUACGUG